rnacentral:rRNA from 1 species
UAGGGAAUCUUCCACAAUGGGCGCAAGCCUGAUGGAGCAACACCGCGUGAGUGAAGAAGGGUUUCGGCUCGUAAAGACUCUGUUGUUAGAGAAGAACGUGCGUGAGAGCAACUGUUCACGCAGUGACGGUAUCUAACCAGAAAGUCACGGCUAACUACGUGCCAC